CACAAGACUCACCAUCUUGACGCCGGCCUCACUCAGGGACGUAGAAAAGGAGGAAGGACCAGCAGGCGACCGGAUUAAUGCCUGCAGAAAAUUCAGUGGGCACGUACUCGUCUUGCCUGAUGUAAAAACGUUAACAAAAUGAUGUCAGCCAUGCAACGUCUGAAUAUUAGCUUGUGCCAAUCAGUUCCGAGGAGGAGGCAGCGACAUGUCAAGAACCACAGUAUUCAUUAUCAAGGUAACUAACGAUAAAAACGAAACAUAAGAAGCACAUUUUAGUAAUGAAAUGCACACGAUAAUUGUGUUUUGGACGUACGCAUGUCCGGAUACACCUGUUAGGAGAGCCCAGGGCCAAAAUUUUCUGUUGGGCCCCCACUGACUCCCAUCUCCACCCCUCAUCUACCACCCUCUGUACACUGUGUUGUACCCUGUGGCCUCUAUGUUCCCAUUAAAUACAUCGCAGCAGACUACACAUGACAGCUUCUUAAUUUGCCCAGAAACCAACCAAUAGUGCUAAACUUGACUUAACACCACCUGGCCCCCAGGUCUUCAGUGUUUCAGUUAGUUUGUGUUAAUUUAAUUAAGCACAUUCUUUUAAGAAUAUGCACCAUGUAAAUUCAGUUAUGUAAAGUCAAAAUUUACUUUUAAAACUAAAUGUUGACACAGGACCCUUCUACAAGACAGUUGAUUUUGUACUUAAAUUGUGUACAUUCCCUUAAAAUUUGCAAUUAAUCAAAUUACCAAAACUAGUUGACAUACAGUGAACCUGUUUCAAGGCCCCUUGGAGGCUGGGGCUCAGUGGCAGUUGCCUACUUUGCCUAGCUGGGAAUCCAGGCUUGGAUGUACACACAAAGAAGAGGUUGUUUAGAACAAUAUGUAGGGGGCAGCUGGCCAUGUAUACCCACCUAAUGCCAUUUUCAUGCAUUGCCUUUCUUUAUAAAAAGCAUUUACUUAUUCACAUGCAUUAUUAGUGUGUAAGAGAGGUUAGUUAAAAACAGAGUCCUCUGAAUGAGAAAAUGAGUGGGUGCAAUAACACAAAAUGUUUACAAAAGAGGUUUUAUUUUUAGUUUGUUAAUGAGUACUUGUGUUGUGACAUUUCAGAUGUGGAAAGAGGGCUCCACUCUCUUGCACAGCAUGAACCAGUGUUUCUGAGGAUAUGAAACAUUGUGGUAAAAACAUGGUGAACAUACAGGAGAGCUUCCUGCUCCUUAUUGAAUAAUGGUCCUUACUAAGUCAAGUUAAAUGAUCCCAUCCCUGUUUUUUGUCACUGUCAAAAUAGCUAAAAGAACUACACCAAACAGAGACAAUUAAACACGUCUGAUUUUCUUUGUUACAGAACUUUAUUGAUCUUGCAGCAACAGUGUCCACUGGCAUUGGAGUUUCAUUUAAAAUAAAAUUAUUUAAAAUCAAGAAACAGAAAGUUAAAGUAAGUUUGUUUCAAAUCUCUUUCAACACACAAUGUUAAGCCCUCAUUGUCAAGCCAAACUGGUUUGAAAUAAAUCUGCAAAUCUGAAUCAUGAUGUCGUAAUAUAGAGUUUUAUCACCAAAAAUGUGCAAUGCAAAUUGGGUUCAAGCAACCCCUUGAUGUGUUUGUCACCAAACAUGGCCAGAAUUAAUUACAAAGCCAAAAAGAAAAAAUGUAAUCUUUGAUAGACAUCAUUUCAGCCAUUCAGUGGUUCCAGUCAUACAGAGAAACAAACUUAUGGUAUGAAUGGAUUUUGAAUGAAAAACAGGAACUUCAUGGUGAUUUGUUUGCCAAGUUUAGAGCUGCUAUUUUGGACAGAGUACAAUUAGCAGACAGGAGUAGGAUUGGGGUGUAAAA